GAAAUGCGAUAAGUAGUGUGAAUUGCAGAAUUCAGUGAAUCAUCGAAUCUUUGAACGCACAUUGCGCCCCUUGGUAUUCCAUGGGGCAUGCCUGUUCGAGCGUCAUUUGUACCCUCAAGCUCUGCUUGGUGUUGGGUGUUUGUCCCGUCUCCGCGCGUGGACUCGCCCCAAAGUGAUUGGCAGCCGGCGUACUGGUCCCGGAGCGCAGCACAUGUCGCGCAAACGAGUGCCUUGGUACGGCGGCGUCCAUAAGCCCCUCUCUCACGCUCUUGACCUCGGAUCAGGUAGGGAUACCCGCUGAACUUGCGC
rnacentral:misc_RNA from 1 species